UCACCGCACGUGGCCAUUAUAUUGAUUUAUAAUUGACGCAUUGUUUUCCACCGUAAUUACUACUAAUUAACAUAGGAAAUUAUUCAGAAAAAUCGUAUAUAAGUUAGAGCAGGAAUCAAACGCACUAUUCUAAGGAUUUUGAGGAAGAUUUCAACAUGUCUCGAGUUGUGUUUCUGGUAUGCCUGCUGAUGCUGGCGAGCGCGGUGGUCUCCCUGGACCUGCCUGGGGGACUGAAGCCCCCAGUUGACCUGCCCAAAACGCCAGACUCCUCCAAACUGGCGGACACCCCUAAAGUUCCCGACACCAAGGACCUCCCAAAUUUAGGGAGAAAGUAACCCCAACGAACGAUAUUUUACUUCUGAUUAUGAUGAUGCGUUGCAUAUGAUCCUGACUGAUAUAUAAAUGAAAAUCUUUUCAAGAAUAGUUGAUGUUCUUGAAUGUUUCCAUCUAAUUCCCCCUCACUAUUGGCGAUUAUGGAUGCGCACGAUCACAUCCGAUUGUAAGCGAUCAUAGACGAUACACGGCGAAUACAGCCGAGUAUGCCUCUACACGAUUCUGCUCGUCUGCAAACGCCAAUUGUGUACAGAUGGUUAAAAAGGCUACAUGCAAUAUUUAAAAAUAUUGCUUUUUGAUAUUUGUUGGCAUUGCGCGCUUACUUUUAUAUGCGCAAAUGUCAAAUUGCAAUAUUGCUUUUUAGAUAAGUUGCUUCGAUGUCGCCUUUUUAAUCCUCCCAAGGCGCACGAGGUUCUCUGAAAAACUUGUCAAGUAAAGGAUUAAGUCUAUCUGAAUUUUACCAAGUUAUUAUUGUCACUUUGAUUUAUCAUCUUUGUGUGACAUGGCUUUUAUUUGUUUUGCACAGAUGGUGCUAAUAUGGCUCGAGUAAAAUGUAGAUACGGGUAAAGAUGGUAAUUUGCAUGACAACCGAAUUGAGAUUAUAGUUAUAAGAGUAUCGAUGUUGUUUUUGUGAUUUGGCAUUGCCAAUGUGGUCGAAAUAGGUGGAGCCAUAUUGUUGUAAGGACCAUAGGUUUAGGGCGUUUUAGGUAAUAGGACUAUAAAACGGGGAAAGUAUAGGCUUUAUAUAUCGCUGGAUAAGGACUUAGACCACAGAUCCGUAAAUGAAAUGCUUGUUAGUUUGUAGUAUUGACAAGAGCCUUUGUCGAGAUAUUGAUACAAAUAUCAAGAGAACCUUAAGAUGAGGGUUUGGCAAAUACUUGUUCAUGACGCAUCAUAUAUCAGGAGUAAUUGAAGAUUCCUAUACGUACACCAUUGCAUACCGAUUCUUGGUACGAUUUGAUAUCGGAUUGAUAGUUUGCCAUAAGGGAGCCGUCUAGGUAUCGACACGAUGGGUAUGCAAUGGUACACGCAUUGAAGUAUCCAACUAAAACCAAAGCAAUCACGGCAAAUUAUAGAUUAAGAUAACAAUUAACUGUUAAUGAAGCAUAAUAAAACGGCUGCAGCUGA